rfam:Brachypodium distachyon strain Bd21 chromosome 3, whole genome shotgun sequence.
AUGAUACUUUCUCCGCCCAACAAAGGAUGUCUCAAGUUUGACUAAAUUUGAAUGCAUCUAUACAAUAAGUCAUGUUUAAAUAUAUUCAAAUUUUGACAAAUUUUAAACAUCUUUUGUUGGACAGAGAGAGUACAUA